AUUGAACGCUGGCGGCAGGCCUAACACAUGCAAGUCGAACGAGUGGCGGACGGGUGAGUAAUGUCUGGGAAACUGCCUGAUGGAGGGGGAUAACUACUGGAAACGGUAGCUAAUACCGCAUACCAUCAGAUGUGCCCAGAUGGGAUUAGCUAGUUGGUGGGGUAACGGCUCACCAAGGCGACGAUCCCUAGCUGGUCUGAGAGGAUGACCAUCCAAACGUGGAAGGAGCCACGGUCCAGACUCCUACGAGAGGACGCAGUGGGGAAUAUUGCACAAUGGGCGCAAGCGUGAUGCAGCCAUGCCGCGUGUAUGAAGAAGGCCUUCGGGUUGUAAAGUACUUUCAGCGGGGAGGCGUUACCCGUAGAAGAAGCACCGGCUAACUCCGUGCCAGCAGCCGCGGUAAUAC
rnacentral:rRNA from 1 species